rnacentral:rRNA from 1 species
AAAGGAAUAGACGGGGGCCCGCACAAGCAGCGGAGCGUGUGGUUUAAUUCGAUGCAACGCGAAAAACCUUACCAAGGCUUGACAUGCCGAAAGUAGAAACCUGAAAGGGCGACGAACUGUUAAGUCAGUAGUCGGCACAGGUGCUGCAUGGCUGUCGUCAGCUCGUGCCGUGAGGUGUAUGGUUAAGUCCUACAACGAGCGCAACCCUCGUUGCUAGUUAUAUUCUCUAGCGAGACUGCCCCGCAAAACGGGGAGGAAGGUGAGGAUGACGUCAAGUCAGCAUGGCCCUUAUGUCUUGGGCUACACACACGCUACAAUGGGUGGUACAAUAGGUUGCGACAUGGCGACAUGUAGCUAAUCCCCAAAGCCAUCCUCAGUACGGAUUGCAGGCUGAAACUCGCCUGCAUGAAGCAGGAGUUGCUAGUAACCGCAUAUCAGAAUGGUGCGGUGAAUACGUUCUCGGGCCUUGUACACACCGCCCGU